CGAGCGAAUGGAUUAAGAGCUUGCUCUUAUGAAGUUAGCGGCGGACGGGUGAGUAACACGUGGGUAACCUGCCCAUAAGACUGGGAUAACUCCGGGAAACCGGGGCUAAUACCGGAUAAUAUUUUGAACCGCAUGGUUCGAAAUUGAAAGGCGGCUUCGGCUGUCACUUAUGGAUGGACCCGCGUCGCAUUAGCUAGUUGGUGAGGUAACGGCUCACCAAGGCAACGAUGCGUAGCCGACCUGAGAGGGUGAUCGGCCACACUGGGACUGAGACACGGCCCAGACUCCUACGGGAGGCAGCAGUAGGGAAUCUUCCGCAAUGGACGAAAGUCUGACGGAGCAACGCCGCGUGAGUGAUGAAGGCUUUCGGGUCGUAAAACUCUGUUGUUAGGGAAGAACAAGUGCUAGUUGAAUAAGCUGGCACCUUGACGGUACCUAACCAGAAAGCCACGGCUAACUACGUGCCAGCAGCCGCGGUAAUACGUAGGUGGCAAGCGUUAUCCGGAAUUAUUGGGCGUAAAGCGCGCGCAGGUGGUUUCUUAAGUCUGAUGUGAAAGCCCACGGCUCAACCGUGGAGGGUCAUUGGAAACUGGGAGACUUGAGUGCAGAAGAGGAAAGUGGAAUUCCAUGUGUAGCGGUGA
rnacentral:rRNA from 1 species